GAUGAAGAACGCAGCGAAAUGCGAUAAGUAAUGUGAAUUGCAGAAUUCAGUGAAUCAUCGAAUCUUUGAACGCACAUUGCGCCCGCCAGUAUUCUGGCGGGCAUGCCUGUUCGAGCGUCAUUUCAACCAUCAAGCCCCCGGCUUGUGUUGGGGACCUGCGGCUGCCGCAGGCCCUGAAAACCAGUGGCGGGCUCGCUAGUCACUCCGAGCGUAGUAAUACAUCUCGCUCAGGGCGUGCUGCGGGUUCCGGCCGUUAAAAAGCCUUAUUUACCCAAGGUUGACAUCGGAUCAGGUAGGAAGACCCGCUGAACUUAAGCAUAUCAAUAAGCGGAGGA
rnacentral:misc_RNA from 1 species